AUCUUUUUCUCAUUAUGCUCUCUUCCAAUCUCAUACCUCAUUUCUUCUCCUCCAACCUUAAAUUUUAAUCUUCAAUUUUCUCACCAUCAUCCAAUUAAUUCAAAGAUUAUUAAGAGAUUCAUUCAAGAAGUUGCAUCUCCACAAAAUAUAUUUUGUUAAUUGAGACCAGGGAAUAGAAUAUUAUUUGAAAGAGUUGUGGAUGGGGAAGGAUCGUCACGUCCACAACAAUUGACACCCCAAAUGAUGGAAGCAAUGUGACAAUUGGCGUUAACUGAGGUGAGACGCGAGGCGGCAGAAUGUGAGGGGUGAUAAAUGUCCAAGUGGAGGAAAUGAAGAAUAGACAAAUUGAGAUUGAGCAAAUAAUGCGUCAAUUGCUCUCACAACAAGGAAACCAAACAAAUAAUUCAAUAAACGGUGAUGUGAAUGAUGAUGAUGAUGAUGAUGAUGUGGACGAAGCUAUGGAUGAUGAG